AAUACCCCUAGAGGUGUUGCAGGUAUGGCUGCUGUGUCACAUGUUCGUCAGUAGGUGGCAGAAAGGAGAGGCUAUGUCUAUGCUUAGUGUUCUGAUCUAGGAACAUCUGAAUAUUAGUAACCUGAAAAG